rnacentral:ribozyme from 1 species
UUUUUUUUUCGUUUUUUUUUUCUAUUACCCAAGCGGAGUUUAUGUUAAAAUUUCCCGAAAAUACGCCGAGAGAAUACCAAAAAGGCUGCACAAAAAGGCAAAAAUCAAU